rnacentral:rRNA from 1 species
UGGGGAAUAUUGGACAAUGGGCGCAGGCCUGAUCCAGCCAUGCCGCGUGCAGGAAGAAGGCCCUAUGGGUCGUAAACUGCUUUUUGAACAAGAGAAAACCCCGGUACGUGUACUGGGUUGAUAGUAUUGUUAGAAUAAGCAUCGGCUAACUUCGUGCCAGCAGCCGCGGUAAGACGAAGGAUGCAAGCGUUAUCCGGAUUCAUUGGGUUUAAAGGGUGCGUAGGCGGACUGAUAAGUCAGUGGUGAAAUCUCUCGGCUUAACCGAGAAACUGCCAUUGAUACUGUUAGUCUAGAGUACAGAUGAUGUGGGCGGAAUAUGACAUGUAGUGGUGAAAUACUUAGAUAUGUCAUAGAACACCGAUUGCGAAGGCAGCUCACAAAACUGUAAACUGACGCUGAGGCACGAAAGUGCGGGGAUCAAACAGGAUUAGAUACCCCAGUAGUCCCUGAGCGGGCUGGCAAGGCGCAU